rnacentral:rRNA from 1 species
GGGGGCGGGGUGCCUAUACAUGCAAGUCGAGCGGACAGAUGGGAGCUUGCUCCCUGAUGUUAGCGGCGGACGGGUGAGUAACACGUGGGUAACCUGCCUGUAAGACUGGGAUAACUCCGGGAAACCGGGGCUAAUACCGGAUGCUUGUUUGAACCGCAUGGUUCAAACAUAAAAGGUGGCUUCGGCUACCACUUACAGAUGGACCCGCGGCGCAUUAGCUAGUUGGUGAGGUAACGGCUCACCAAGGCGACGAUGCGUAGCCGACCUGAGAGGGUGAUCGGCCACACUGGGACUGAGACACGGCCCAGACUCCUACGGGAGGCAGCAGUAGGGAAUCUUCCGCAAUGGACGAAAGUCUGACGGAGCAACGCCGCGUGAGUGAUGAAGGUUUUCGGAUCGUAAAGCUCUGUUGUUAGGGAAGAACAAGUGCCGUUCAAAUAGGGCGGCACCUUGACGGUACCUAACCAGAAAGCCACGGCUAACUACGUGCCAGCAGCCGCGGUAAUACGUAGGUGGCAAGCGUUGUCCGGAAUUAUUGGGCGUAAAGGGCUCGCAGGCGGUUUCUUAAGUCUGAUGUGAAAGCCCCCGGCUCAACCGGGGAGGGUCAUUGGAAACUGGGGAACUUGAGUGCAGAAGAGGAGAGUGGAAUUCCACGUGUAGCGGUGAAAUGCGUAGAGAUGUGGAGGAACACCAGUGGCGAAGGCGACUCUCUGGUCUGUAACUGACGCUGAGGAGCGAAAGCGUGGGGAGCGAACAGGAUUAGAUACCCUGGUAGUCCACGCCGUAAACGAUGAGUGCUAANUGUUAUGGGGUUUCCGCCCCUUAGUGCUGCACCUAACGUAUUAAGCACUCCGCCUGGGGAGUACGGUCGCAAGACUGAAACUCAAAGGAAUUGACGGGGGGCCCGCACAAGCGGUGGAGCAUGUGGUUUAAUUUCGAACCAACGNGAAGAACCUUACCAAGGUCUUGACACUCCUCUGACAAUCCUA